AGAGUUUGAUCCUGGCUCAGAUUGAACGCUGGCGGCGUGCUUAACACAUGCAAGUCGAACGUGAAAGUCCUUCGGGGCGAGUAAAGUAGCGCACGGGUGAGUAACGCGUGGAUAAUCUACCCUUAAGAUGGGGAUAACGGCUGGAAACGGUCGCUAAUACCGAAUACGCUCCCGAUUUUAUCAUUGGGGGGAAAGAUGGCCUCUGCUUGCAAGCUAUCGCUUAAGGAUGAGUCCGCGUCCCAUUAGCUAGUUGGCGGGGUAACGGCCCACCAAGGCAACGAUGGGUAGCCGGUCUGAGAGGAUGACCGGCCACACUGGAACUGGAACACGGUCCAGACUCCUACGGGAGGCAGCAGUGGGGAAUAUUGCGCAAUGGGCGAAAGCCUGACGCAGCGACGCCGCGUGAGGGAUGAAGGUUCUCGGAUCGUAAACCUCUGUCAGGGGGGAAGAAACCCCCUCGUGUGAAUAAUGCGAGGGCUUGACGGUACCCCCAAAGGAAGCACCGGCUAACUCCGUGCCAGCAGCCGCGGUAAUACGGAGGGUGCAAGCGUUAAUCGGAAUCACUGGGCGUAAAGCGCACGUAGGCGGCUUGGUAAGUCAGGGGUGAAAUCCCACAGCCCAACUGUGGAACUGCCUUUGAUACUGCCAGGCUUGAGUACCGGAGAGGGUGGCGGAAUUCCAGGUGUAGGAGUGAAAUCCGUAGAUAUCUGGAGGAACACCGGUGGCGAAGGCGGCCACCUGGACGGUAACUGACGCUGAGGUGCGAAAGCGUGGGUAGCAAACAGGAUUAGAUACCCUGCUAGUCCACGCUGUAAACGAUGGGGUGCUGGGUGCUGGGAUGUAUGUCUCGGUGCCGUAGCUAACGGCGAUAAGCACCCCGCCUGGGGGAGUAGGUCGCAAGGCUGAAACUCAAAGAAAAUUGACGGGGGCCCGCAC
rnacentral:rRNA from 1 species